rnacentral:rRNA from 1 species
GGGUAUUCUUUUAUUUUGAGGUGUUUUUGGGUGAGGUUUUUAAAUAUUUACUUUAGUAAUCAUGUGGUAUUUUUGUAAAGUUUGGUUCUGGCUUGAGAAUAUGGCGGAGACUAUAGAAUACACAUGAUUUUUGUAGAGUGAGGCGAGGUAGAAAGAAGUGAAUAUGGUUAGUUAAAUGAGGCUGAAUUAUUAUUCUUUUUUCUAGGCAUUAUAAUUUAUAGAAUGUCUUGUGAAGUCCCGUUAACAUCAGUGUUGAAGGUUAAUUAAAAGGCGUGAGCCUGUUUUAAUAUAGUGUUUUAAGCUUGGUUAAUUUGGUGCCAGCAUCCGCGGUUACACCAAGAAGUUGAGUCAUAUGAUUGAUGGUGAAAAGAUAGUUAGGCGAAUAAGGAGUUGUAGGCUAUUCGAUGUAGUGUAUAGAGGUAAAAUUUAAGUGCGACUAUAUAGUUUGAGAAUAGCUUUAGGGCUGAAUCUAUGAAAUCCUUGAGGGAAACUGGGAUUAGGUACCCCAUUAUUCUUGGAUGUAAAUAGAGAGUGUCUACCAGAGGUACUAUGAAUAAUAGAGAAUUUAAAACUCAAAGAACUUGGCGGUGUUUUAGACCACUUAGGGGAACCUGUCUCGUAAUCGACAGUCCACGUUGUACCUGACCUUUUCUUGUUUUCAGUUUGUAUACCGUUGUCGUCAGGUAACUUUUUAGAAAAUAGAAGUUGGCUAUAGAAAUUUAGUAAUUUAGUACGUCAAAUCAAGGUGCAGCUAACGAAAGGGGGAGGAUGGGUUACAAUUAUAUAAUUAUAAUGACGGAUGUCCACAUGAAAGUGUGGGUUGUGAAGGAGGACUUAGAAGUAAAUUGGAUUAAGAAAAACAGUUUGAAUGAGGCUCUGAAACGUGUACACAUCGCCCGUCGCUCUUGUUGAAAAAUAAGAUAAGUCGUAACAUAGUAGGGGUAAUGGAAAUUGCCCCUAUGGU